CGUAUCUAAUUUUUUUUUAUUUUUUAUAUUUUUAGGAUGUCAUUCCAUGUUGACACGUAAGAUUAUAAGAUGAUCUCCCAUAAUAUCACAUGUUAAAUUUUAUUUUUUUAUUUUUUUAUUUUUUUUAAAUAAAAAAUAGAAGCACAAAUAAUAUGAUAAAAAAAAUAUUUUAAAUUUAUAUAAUAAUAGUAAAAUGAUACACAGAUAUUAAAAAUGACAUUCCGUAUUGACACAAAAAAUUAUAGGAUAAUCUUCCACAAUGCCACAUGUCAUCUAUACCUAUCUAUAUGUAAGAUUAUC
rnacentral:lncRNA from 1 species